AGCAUGUGUAAACAGCUUGUAGGUGGUGACUUUAGAAUUUAAAAUAUUUUGUGUGCUCCGUAUGUAAAAAUAAAAUGGUUUUGACAUUCAUAAAUUGUCACAAUAUCAUGUAAUCAUGUACAUUAAUCUAAAUAUUCUUGUUGAUUUAACAUUGUUUAAUUCUGAAACUGAAGAAGUGCAAAGCAUUACAUAGGUAUCAAGCAUUUCUAGACUAAGUUUUAGGACUUCAAAUAUUGAUUAAUCUUAGCUUGUAAGUGUACUAAUAAGAGUUUUUAACUCAUACCUAUCAGCUGAAUCAGUAAAAAGUAAGGAUGUAGUAGAACUAAUAAUUAUCAAACUCAAUACCCUAACAGACUUCAGUGUCUAGAACAUAUCUUGAAGUUAAUCAUAUUAAGCCCCAAAACUCUGUACAUUAAGAAAGGGAGAGGAGAGAGGGAACAGAUGAUAUUCUGGAACCUUUUUUUUCCCUUUAAUCUUAUUUUUACUGUGAAUAACAACACUAGACUCACUGAAGAUUUUGGGACACUUACUAGCAAGCAUAGUUAAGACAAAAUGCCAACUCUCUUAAAUAGUAAUAAGAGUUUUGCUCAAAGAAAAGUACACAGCCUUAAACAGUCAAGUUAUGAAAUAAAGGAUAAAAAUAGUUGUCUCACUUAAGAAUUACAAGAAAAUAAGCCAGGCACAGUGGCUCACACCUGUAAUCCCAGCACUUUGGGAGGCCAAGGCAGGCUGGAUCACUUGAGCUCAGGAGUUUGAGACCAGCCUGGCUAACAUAGUGAAACCCCGUCUCCACUAAAAAUACAGAAAUUAGCCGGGUAUUGUGGCAUGCCUGUAAUCCCAGCUACUUGGGAGGCUGAGGCAGGAGAAUCGCUUGAACCCAGGAGGUGGAGGUUGCGGUGAGCCAAGAUUGCGCCACUGCACUCCAGCCUGGGCAACAGAGUGAGACUCUGUCUCAAAAAAAAAAUUUUUUUUUUAAACUAGGUGAGCAUGGUGGCUGAUGCCUGUAGUCCCCUUUGGGAGGCCAAGGCUGGCAGAUGAUGUGAGCCCAAGGAGUUUGAGACCAGCCUGGGCAACGUAGAGAAACCCUGUCUCUACAAAACAUACAAAAAUUAGCUGGGCUUGGUGGUGCGGGCCUGUGGUCCCAGGUACUCAGAUGGCUGAGGUGGAAGGAUUGCUUGAGCCCAGGAGGUCAAGGCUGCAGUAAGUGCAGUGAACUGCGAGGUAGCCACUGCAUUCAGCCCAGGUGACAGAGCAAAACUCUGUCUCAAAAAAACAAAACAAAACUGAGAAAUAGUAAGAUUGGUAAUUCACAAGCUGCUGCUUUGCUAGGAGUGGUAAGGUUAUAAAUUAGAUAAACUGAUAACCCUGCUCAAGAAAAAAGGGAACAUAAGUACACAGGUUAGAAGUAAUUUUUUAAA
rnacentral:lncRNA from 10 species